UACGAAGGGGGCUAGCGUUGUUCGGAAUUACUGGGCGUAAAGGGCGCGUAGGCGGCUCUGAUCGUCGGAUGUGAAAGGCCUGGGCUCAACCUGGGAAUGGCAUCCGAUACGGCGGGGCUGGAGUGUGGGAGAGGUUGGUGGAAUUCCCAGUGUAGAGGUGAAAUUCGUAGAUAUUGGGAAGAACACCGGUGGCGAAGGCGACUACCUGGCCUGUUCUUGACGCUGAGGCGCGAAAGCUAGGGGAGCAAACGGG
rnacentral:rRNA from 1 species